rnacentral:tRNA from 1 species
GUAUUGGUUGUUCAGUGGUAGAAUUCUUGCCUUCCAUGCAGGAGACCUGGGUUCAAUUCCUGGCAAAUGUA